rnacentral:rRNA from 1 species
AUACGGAGGAUGCGAGCGUUAUCCGGAUUUAUUGGGUUUAAAGGGUGCGCAGGCGGCCAUUUAAGUCAGCGGUUAAAUCGUGGGGCUCAACCCCAUUCUGCCGUUGAUACUGGGUGGCUUGAUUGCGGUCGAGGUUGGCGGAAUUCGUUGUGUAGCGGGGAAAUGCAUAGAUAUGACGAAGAACACCGAUUGCGUAGGCAGCUGACCAGACCGCAAAUGACGCUCAUGCACGAAAGUGCGGGGAUCGAACAGGAUUAGAUACCCUGGUAGUCCGCACAGUAAACGAUGAAUACUUGUUUUCGGCGAUAUAAUGUCGGAGGCAAAGCGAAAGCGAUAAGUAUUCCACCUGGGGAGUACGCCGGCAACGGUGAAACUCAAAUGAAUUGACGGGG